UGGCUCAGAUGGUAAAGCAUCUGCCUACAAUGCAGGAGACCAGGGUUCAAACCUUG
rnacentral:tRNA from 1 species